ACCCGCUGAACUUAAGCAUAUCAAUAAGCGGAGGAAAAGAAACCAACAGGGAUUGCCUUAGUAACGGCGAGUGAAGCGGCAACAGCUCAAAUUUGAAAUCUGGCUCCUUGCGGGGUCCGAGUUGUACUUUGCAGAGGGUGGUUCGGCGUCGGCUCCUGUCUAAGUUCCUUGGAACGGGACGUCAGAGAGGGUGAGAACCCCGUACGCGAUGGGCGGCCGGUCGCCGUGUGAACCCCCUUCGACGAGUCGAGUUGUUUGGGAAUGCAGCUCUAAAUGGGAGGUAUAUUUCUUCUAAAGCUAAAUACUGGCCAGAGACCGAUAGCGCACAAGUAGAGUGAUCGAAAGAUGAAAAGCACUUUGGAAAGAGAGUCAAACAGCACGUGAAAUUGUUGAAAGGGAAGCGCUUGCAACCAGACUUGGCUGCUGUUGUUCAUCGGGGGCUCGUCCCCCGUGCACUCGACGGCAGGCAGGCCAGCAUCAGUUGGGGCGGUUGGAAAAAGGCCCUGGGAAUGUAGCUCUCUUCGGGGAGUAUUAUAGCCCAGGGCGCCAUACAGCCAGCCCCGACUGAGGUCCGCGCUUCGGCUAGGAUGCUGGCGUAAUGGGUGCAAGCGGCCCGUCUUGAAACACGG
rnacentral:rRNA from 1 species